rnacentral:lncRNA from 12 species
CUGUAUUUGGCUAAUAGUUUGAGACUACUCAAUCUUUUCUGAAAAAUAAACAAACAAAACCAAACCAUGGCCAGAAGUUGGUUUUUCACUUAAUUUUUGUUUAUUUCUUAUAGAUGGGGAAGAGUUCCUUCCUGCUACCUGUAUUUCUGUUUAGGUAUUUAUUUUGUUUUUUUUUUUUUUUUUCCUGAGGUAGAAAACGAAACUCCCCUACAUGCUUUGUUUUGCC